GGAAUUUUGGACAAUGGGCGAAAGCCUGAUCCAGCAAUGCCGCGUGCAGGAUGAAGGCCUUCGGGUUGUAAACUGCUUUUGUACGGAACGAAAAAGUCUGCCCUAAUACGGUGGGCCCAUGACGGUACCGUAAGAAUAAGCACCGGCUAACUACGUGCCAGCAGCCGCGGUAAUACGUAGGGUGCGAGCGUUAAUCGGAAUUACUGGGCGUAAAGCGUGCGCAGGCGGUUAUAUAAGUCAGAUGUGAAAUCCCCGGGCUCAACCUGGGACCUGCAUUUGAGACUGUAUAGCUAGAGUACGGUAGAGGGGGAUGGAAUUCCGCGUGUAGCAGUGAAAUGCGUAGAUAUGCGGAGGAACACCGAUGGCGAAGGCAAUCCCCUGGACCUGUACUGACGCUCAUGCACGAAAGCGUGGGGAGCAAACAGGAUUAGAUACCCCUG
rnacentral:rRNA from 1 species